rnacentral:rRNA from 1 species
GUCGAACGCUGGCGGCGUGCCUAAUACAUGCAAGUCGAACGCAGUGGGGACGGGUGAGUAACAACUGGGUAACCUCCCAUCAGAGGGGAUAACACUUGGAAACCGGUGCUAAACCGCUACUGAUGUAUGGACCCGCGGUGCCGUCGCUAGAUGGUGAGGUAACGGCUCACCAAGGACACGAUGCAUAGCCGACCUGAGAGGGUGAUCGGCCACACUGGGACUGAGACACGGCCCAGACUCCUACGGGAGGCAGCAGUAGGGAAUCUUCGGCAAUGGACGAAAGUCUGACCGAGCAACGCCGCGUGAGUGAAGAAGGUUUUCGGAUCGUAAAACUCUGUUGUUAGAGAAGCGGUAUCUAACCAGAAAGCCACGGCUAACUACGUGCCAGCCGCCGCGGUAAUAC